GACGUAGGGCGCGAGCGUUGUCCGGAUUUAUUGGGCGUAAAGAGCUCGUAGGCGGCUUGUCGCGUCGACUGUGAAAACCCGAGGCUCAACUUCGGGCUUGCAGUCGAUACGGGCAGGCUAGAGUUCGGUAGGGGAGACUGGAAUUCCUGGUGUAGCGGUGAAAUGCGCAGAUAUCAGGAGGAACACCGAUGGCGAAGGCAGGUCUCCUGGGCCGAUACUGACGCUGAGGAGCGAAAGCGUGGGGAGCGAACAGG
rnacentral:rRNA from 1 species